GUCCACGCCCUAAACGAUGCGAACUGGACGUUGGGAGCAAUUAGGCUCUCAGUGUCGAAGCUAACGCGUUAAGUUCGCCGCCUGGGGAGUACGGUCGCAAGACUGAAACUCAAAGGAAUUGACGGGGCCCGCACAAGCGGUGGAGUAUGUGGUUUAAUUCGAUGCAACGCGAAGAACCUUACCUGGCCUUGACAUCCACGGAAGUCUGCAGAGAUGCGGAUGUGCCUUCGGGAACCGUGAGACAGGUGCUGCAUGGCUGUCGU
rnacentral:rRNA from 1 species